AGGGUAACGUAGUCAUUUUCCGCA
rnacentral:siRNA from 1 species